GCGUAAGAUAAAAAGAUUUUUAAAAAGUACACAAUGGUGACAUUAAGUGGUUGGAUAUGUUGCAUGUAUUGCAUGCGUUCAUGAAAUAUUGCUGAGAAGCCCCCUUCUUUAACCAUAAUAUCAUGUUGUAAAUUAUAAUGUAGAUUUUUGACUCGUGUUUCAUUGCUCAACUUUUGCAAUAUUUGAUACAUAUAUGCUCCCUUUAUAACUCAUUUAAACACUUCAAAUAAUUACAAAAAAACAUUUAAAGGUUGUUAAAGGUUAUUUUUUCAUUGUAUAACCUUUAUAGUGGUCUACAUAUAUAUAGAGUCAUUCACCGUGAUUUCCUGGCCUACUAAAAAAAGCAUCUUACUUAAACGCGGACAUAUGAUAUUUAAUUGUUCCCUUUGAACAUAGGUAUUUGUUACCUUUAUAUUUGAAUACUACAAAAUGUUAAAUAUAACAUAUAGUUAAAGGUUGCGAACGGUUAUUCAUUGUUUAAACUUUUGCGGUCUGCAUUUAUAAUAUAGAGUCAUUCACCGCUGUUUCAUUUCCUAGUGAAUCAAAUGCAUGUAAAUAAAGCGCUGACAGAUAUAUUUAAGACUUUCUUUCAAUUGGUCACUUUACUCGUUAUUUGGUCAGCAUUGGAUUUUAUCAUAAGGGAAUGGUUACCUUUGUAAUUUUCAUCUGCUCAAAAUAACAACUUUUAUUCUGAAGCCAUUUUAAUACCAAG
rnacentral:lncRNA from 1 species